UUCCUUUUGAUUAAAAAAAAGGUAGGCCCUGCCCAGUGUUUUGAGGAAUAAACGGCGGCCUUAGCGUGAGGGUCCUAAGGUAGCAUGAUAAGUUGGCCUUUAAUUUGGGUCUUGACGAAUGGGUUAACGGGGGAAAACUGUCACGUGAAUUACCAUUGAAAUUAACUUAAAGGUGAGAAGGCCUUUAUGGGUGAGAGGGACGACAAGACCCUAGAAGCUUUAUUAAUCUUGCUAUACAGUGUAUAACAUGAUAAAUUUGUUGGGGCAACAGUUAAGGGAUGGGUCUUUUCGUGGUAAUUGGUUGUUGUGUUUCUAUACUCUAUUUAUUUUUAUGUGUAGUUUAUGAGAUGGUUAUUUCCUUUGUCUGACUUGAUAAUUCAUCCACCUUGGUGUUAUAUGAAAAAUUACGUUCUGGUGAUUUUUGUGUUUGAUUUAGGUGAAAACGGUUGAGUUACUCUAGGGAUAACAGCGCAAUAUCUUUUUGGAGUUCUUAUCUAUUAAGAUGCUUGCGACCUCGAUGUUGGCUUAGGAUAUCCUUAUAAUUUUAUUGGCGUAGCCGCUUAAAGGGUUGGUGUGUUCACCCAUUAAAAUCCU
rnacentral:rRNA from 1 species